rnacentral:lncRNA from 1 species
CGUUAAGAAACUUAAGUUAUCAAUGCAACACCACAAUGCCUCCUACUUCUGUGUACUUUACAGUUUCUCUAUAUAUUCUGUCUAACUCAGUGCUACACUUAUCAAACCAAACCUCUUUUUCUGUCUUUCUCUGACUUGACAAACUCUUUGCAUCCGGAAAUCAGACCUCACUUUGUGGAUCCUGUCGGAGAUCACAAGGUCAAGACAUUUGCGGUGAAAUGUCAUGAGGAAAGCAUUGAGGUUGUGAUGAAAGCUUAUAUGUUUGACCCCGGCCUGAAUGUGGAGCCCACGCACUUUCUGGCUUGGACCUUUCAGUGCUGCGCACGAUCACUGCAGAGCCAAAGCUUCUGGAAAUGGGGAUUACAUCAUGAGAGCAGCUCUGACUGAGUGUGGAGUUCACCCAGAGUGCUUUGCUGUACAACAACCUCCUGCUGUACUCUCCUCCAACAUCACCUGGACACAUGUUUGUUAUUUGGCAUACCUAAUUCAGAGAAACUAACUUUAAAUGAAGUAUUCAGAUCCUUUACUUGCGUAAAAGAAAUCAUCUCACCAAGCAUCACGCGGCCGGUCGCUCUCCUCACUCCACGCCGUGCAGUUUUCAGGUGCUGCAGGCUGCACCAUGAUGACACCAGGAGGAAAUCAUCUCACCAAGCAUCACGUGGCCGGUCGCUCUCCUCACUCCACGCCGUGCAGUUUUCAGGUGCUGCAGGCUGCACCAUGAUGACACCAGGAGACUCGCAGCUGGACGGCUCAAGCUCCCGUUUCCUGCCCAGAGUCCAGGACCUUUCCUCUUCCACCAGGACACACCGUCAGCACUGGUUUCACAUGUUUCAAAUCUAUAUCUCUCCAGUAGGAAUACAAAUGCCUCAGCAUGUGUCAGUGUCUCCUGUAGAUGUACAUUACAUGUAUCCUGGAAGCAGAGCCCAUUUCAAACAAGGAUCCGGUGAAACAGUGGGAGGUCAGUUUCCACUCUCUUCUUUGUGCCCACUAUUCAAAACAACUUGCUGA